GCCGGGCACGGUGGUGCGUGCCUGUAAUCCCAGCUACUCAGGAAGCCGAGGCAGGAGAAUCGCUUGAACCCAGGAGGCGUAGGUUGCAGUGAGCAGAGAUUGUGCCACUGCACUCCAGUCUGGGUGACAGAGCCAGACUCUGUCUCAA
ensembl:misc_RNA Metazoa_SRP Metazoan signal recognition particle RNA